rnacentral:lncRNA from 1 species
UUUCACAUAUAAAAUAAAUGAUGAGAGUAGUUGGAACUACUCUAUUAAGUUUGCAAACUGGGAGAUCUUGGUAACUUUGAAUGCAUGGACUGGAAAACUUAACUCAAACAUGCAAAGUUUUGUCAAGCAUCUUUUGCUUUCUCUACAUGCAUAGAUCCUGUCAAACAAGCCUGAAGAGGCUGAUUUUUAGAGGCAAAUCAACUACUUUUAGACAUGUUUAAAAC